GAUGAACGCUAGCGGCAGGCUUAAUACACGCAAGUCGAGGGGCAUCAAGGUACACGAAAGUGUAUUGUUGGCGACCGGCGGACGGGUGAGUAAUAGGUAGGUAACCUACCUCAUACUGAGGCAUAGCUGGGAGAAAUUCCAGGUAAUUCCUCAUGAGGUUAUAUGACACAUGUGAUAUAAUCAAAGGUAUCGCAAGGUACUGGUAUGAGAUGGGCUUACUGACCAUUAGCUAGUUGGUGAGAUAAGAGCUCACCAAGGCGAAGAUGGUUAGGGGUUUUGAGAGAGAGAUCCCCCACAUUGGAACUGAGAUACGGUCCAGACUCCUACGGGAGGCAGCAGUAGGGAAUAUUGGGCAAUGGGCGGAAGCCUGACCCAGCCAUGCCGCGUGAAGGAAGACGGCCUUAUGGGUUGUAAACUUCUUUACUAUGCGACUAACUAGAUUUACGAGAUAAUUCUAUAGAAUGUAGCAUAGCAAAAAGCACCGGCUAA
rnacentral:rRNA from 1 species